UGGGGAAUAUUGGACAAUGGGGGGAACCCUGAUCCAGCCAUGCCGCGUGUGUGAAGAAGGCCUUAUGGUUGUAAAGCACUUUAAGCGAGGAGGAGGGUACUGGUAUUAAUACUACCAGGUACUGGACGUUACUCGCAGAAUAAGCACCGGCUAACUCUGUGCCAGCAGCCGCGGUAAUACAGAGGGUGCGAGCGUUAAUCGGAUUUACUGGGCGUAAAGCGUGCGUAGGCGGCUAAUUGAGUCGGAUGUGAAAUCCCCGAGCUUAACUUAGGAAUUGCAUUCGAUACUGGUCAGCUAGAGUAUCGGAGAGGAUGGUAGAAUUCCAGGUAUAGCGGUGAAAUGCGUAGAGAUCUGGAGGAAUACCGAUGGCGAAGGCAGCCAUCUGGCCUAAUACUGACGCUGAGGUACGAAAGCAUGGGGAGCAAACAGG
rnacentral:rRNA from 1 species